GGAAAUGUUGUUGGAUGUAAACGCAACGAAGUUUGCUGUGCUGCAGAGGAUGUACUUAAUGUUGCGACUUGCGAUGGGGAUUACGAAUGUGUCAAUGGGAAUCUGUGCCGAGAAGAUAUAGGUUUCCGCAAAGCCGGUCAAUGCCCCCCGGAAAAGAUAUGCUGUUUAGUUGAAAAUAUUUCUAUCCUAAGCAUUAAAGACCCCCUUUAGAGCUUUGCUCUCGUUUACUUAUUGAUGAACAC